AUGAACGCUAGCUACAGGCUUAACACAUGCAAGUCGAGGGGCAGCAUGGUCUUAGCUUGCUAAGGCCGAUGGCGACCGGCGCACGGGUGAGUAACACGUAUCCAACCUGCCGUCUACUCUUGGACAGCCUUCUGAAAGGAAGAUUAAUACAAGAUGGCAUCAUGAGUCCGCAUGUUCACAUGAUUAAAGGUAUUCCGGUAGACGAUGGGGAUGCGUUCCAUUAGAUAGUAGGCGGGGUAACGGCCCACCUAGUCUUCGAUGGAUAGGGGUUCUGAGAGGAAGGUCCCCCACAUUGGAACUGAGACACGGUCCAAACUCCUACGGGAGGCAGCAGUGAGGAAUAUUGGUCAAUGGGCGAGAGCCUGAACCAGCCAAGUAGCGUGAAGGAUGACUGCCCUAUGGGUUGUAAACUUCUUUUAUAAAGGAAUAAAGUCGGGUAUGGAUACCCGUUUGCAUGUACUUUAUGAAUAAGGAUCGGCUAACUCCGUGCCAGCAGCCGCGGUAAUACGGAGGAUCCGAGCGUUAUCCGGAUUUAUUGGGUUUAAAGGGAGCGUAGAUGGAUGUUUAAGUCAGUUGUGAAAGUUUGCGGCUCAACCGUAAAAUUGCAGUUGAUACUGGAUAUCUUGAGUGCAGUUGAGGCAGGCGGAAUUCGUGGUGUAGCGGUGAAAUGCUUAGAUAUCACGAAGAACUCCGAUUGCGAAGGCAGCCUGCUAAGCUGCAACUGACGUUGAGGCUCGAAAGUGUGGGUAUCAAACAGGAUUAGAUACCCUGGUAGUCCACACGGUAAACGAUGAAUACUCGCUGUUUGCGAUAUACUGCAAGCGGCCAAGCGAAAGCGUUAAGUAUUCCACCUGGGGAGUACGCCGGCAACGGUGAAACUCAAAGGAAUUGACGGGGGCCCGCACAAGCGGAGGAACAUGUGGUUUAAUUCGAUGAUACGCGAGGAACCUUACCCGGGCUUAAAUUGCAGAUGAAUUACGGUGAAAGCCGUAAGCCGCAAGGCAUCUGUGAAGGUGCUGCAUGGUUGUCGUCAGCUCGUGCCGUGAGGUGUCGGCUUAAGUGCCAUAACGAGCGCAACCCUUGUUGUCAGUUACUAACAGGUUCCGCUGAGGACUCUGACAAGACUGCCAUCGUAAGAUGUGAGGAAGGUGGGGAUGACGUCAAAUCAGCACGGCCCUUACGUCCGGGGCUACACACGUGUUACAAUGGGGGGUACAGAGGGCCGCUACCACGCGAGUGGAUGCCAAUCCCCAAAACCUCUCUCAGUUCGGACUGGAGUCUGCAACCCGACUCCACGAAGCUGGAUUCGCUAGUAAUCGCGCAUCAGCCACGGCGCGGUGAAUACGUUCCCGGGCCUUGUACACACCGCCCGUCAAGCCAUGGGAGCCGGGGGUACCUGAAGUGCGUAACCGCGAGGAGCGCCCUAGGGUAAAACUGGUGACUGGGGCU
rnacentral:rRNA from 1 species